CUCGGUGACUUUACCGGAGGGGCCACACCCGUUCCCAUCCCGAACACGGCAGUUAAGCCCUCCAAGGCCGAUGGUACUGCGCGGGCAACUGUGUGGGAGAGUAGGUCGUCGCCGNNN
rfam:Acidobacteria bacterium RIFCSPLOWO2_02_FTLL_61_28 rifcsplowo2_02_scaffold_6349, whole genome shotgun sequence.